rnacentral:rRNA from 1 species
UCCCAACUUCGGUUAUAAGAUCCCUCAAAGAUGAUGAGGUUAAUAGGUUCGAGGUGGAAGCAUGGUGACAUGUGGAGCUGACGAAUACUAAUCGAUCGAAGACUUAAUCAA